GGGUUGUGAGGUUAAGCGACUAAGCGUACACGGUGGAUGCCCUGGCAGUCAGAGGCGAUGAAGGGCGUGCUAAUCUGCGAUAAGCGCCGGUAAGGUGAUAUGAACCGUUAUAACCGGCGAUACCCGAAUGGGGAAACCCAGUGUGACUCGUCACACUAUCAUUAACUGAAUCCAUAGGUUAAUGAGGCGAACCGGGGGAACUGAAACAUCUAAGUACCCCGAGGAAAAGAAAUCAACCGAGAUUCCCCCAGUAGCGGCGAGCGAACGGGGAGGAGCCCAGAGCCUGAAUCAGCAUGUGUGUUAGUGGAAGCGUCUGGAAAGGCGCGCGAUACAGGGUGACAGCCCCGUACACAAAAGCGCAUGUGCUGUGAGCUCGAUGAGUAGGGCGGGACACGUGGUAUCCUGUCUGAAUAUGGGGGGACCAUCCUCCAAGGCUAAAUACUCCUGACUGACCGAUAGUGAACCAGUACCGUGAGGGAAAGGCGAAAAGAACCCCGGCGAGGGGAGUGAAAAAGAACCUGAAACCGUGUACGUACAAGCAGUGGGAGCACAGGUUUACCUGUGUGACUGCGUACCUUUUGUAUAAUGGGUCAGCGACUUAUAUUCUGUAGCAAGGUUAACCGAAUAGGGGAGCCGGAGGGAAACCGAGUCUUAACCGGGCGUUAAGUUGCAGGGUAUAGACCCGAAACCCGGUGAUCUAGCCAUGGGCAGGUUGAAGGUUGGGUAACACUAACUGGAGGACCGAACCGACUAAUGUUGAAAAAUUAGCGGAUGACCUGUGGCUGGGGGUGAAAGGCCAAUCAAACCGGGAGAUAGCUGGUUCUCCCCGAAAGCUAUUUAGGUAGCGCCUCGUGAAUUCAUCUCCGGGGGUAGAGCACUGUUUCGGCUAGGGGGCCAUCCCGGCUUACCAACCCGAUGCAAACUGCGAAUACCGGAGAAUGUUAUCACGGGAGACACACGGCGGGUGCUAACGUCCGUCGUGAAGAGGGAAACAACCCAGACCGCCAGCUAAGGUCCCAAAGUCAUGGUUAAGUGGGAAACGAUGUGGGAAGGCCCAGACAGCCAGGAUGUUGGCUUAGAAGCAGCCAUCAUUUAAAGAAAGCGUAAUAGCUCACUGGUCGAGUCGGCCUGCGCGGAAGAUGUAACGGGGCUAAACCAUGCACCGAAGCUGCGGCAGCGACGCUGAUGCGUUGUUGGGUAGGGGAGCGUUCUGUAAGCCUGUGAAGGUGGCCUGUGAGGGUUGCUGGAGGUAUCAGAAGUGCGAAUGCUGACAUAAGUAACGAUAAAGCGGGUGAAAAGCCCGCUCGCCGGAAGACCAAGGGUUCCUGUCCAACGUUAAUCGGGGCAGGGUGAGUCGACCCCUAAGGCGAGGCCGAAAGGCGUAGUCGAUGGGAAACGGGUUAAUAUUCCCGUACUUGGUGUUACUGCGAAGGGGGGACGGAGAAGGCUAUGUUGGCCGGGCGACGGUUGUCCCGGUUUAAGCGUGUAGGUGUGUGUUCCAGGUAAAUCCGGUUCACUUUAACACUGAGGCGUGACGACGAGGCACUACGGUGCUGAAGCAACAAAUGCCCUGCUUCCAGGAAAAGCCUCUAAGCAUCAGGUAACAUCAAAUCGUACCCCAAACCGACACAGGUGGUCAGGUAGAGAAUACCAAGGCGCUUGAGAGAACUCGGGUGAAGGAACUAGGCAAAAUGGUGCCGUAACUUCGGGAGAAGGCACGCUGACACGUAGGUGAAGUGAUUUACUCAUGGAGCUGAAGUCAGUCGAAGAUACCAGCUGGCUGCAACUGUUUAUUAAAAACACAGCACUGUGCAAACACGAAAGUGGACGUAUACGGUGUGACGCCUGCCCGGUGCCGGAAGGUUAAUUGAUGGGGUCAGCGCAAGCGAAGCUCCUGAUCGAAGCCCCGGUAAACGGCGGCCGUAACUAUAACGGUCCUAAGGUAGCGAAAUUCCUUGUCGGGUAAGUUCCGACCUGCACGAAUGGCGUAAUGAUGGCCAGGCUGUCUCCACCCGAGACUCAGUGAAAUUGAACUCGCUGUGAAGAUGCAGUGUACCCGCGGCAAGACGGAAAGACCCCGUGAACCUUUACUAUAGCUUGACACUGAACAUUGAGCCUUGAUGUGUAGGAUAGGUGGGAGGCUUUGAAGUGUGGACGCCAGUCUGCAUGGAGCCGACCUUGAAAUACCACCCUUUAAUGUUUGAUGUUCUAACGUGGACCCGUAAUCCGGGUUGCGGACAGUGUCUGGUGGGUAGUUUGACUGGGGCGGUCUCCUCCUAAAGAGUAACGGAGGAGCACGAAGGUUGGCUAAUCCUGGUCGGACAUCAGGAGGUUAGUGCAAUGGCAUAAGCCAGCUUGACUGCGAGCGUGACGGCGCGAGCAGGUGCGAAAGCAGGUCAUAGUGAUCCGGUGGUUCUGAAUGGAAGGGCCAUCGCUCAACGGAUAAAAGGUACUCCGGGGAUAACAGGCUGAUACCGCCCAAGAGUUCAUAUCGACGGCGGUGUUUGGCACCUCGAUGUCGGCUCAUCACAUCCUGGGGCUGAAGUAGGUCCCAAGGGUAUGGCUGUUCGCCAUUUAAAGUGGUACGCGAGCUGGGUUUAGAACGUCGUGAGACAGUUCGGUCCCUAUCUGCCGUGGGCGCUGGAGAACUGAGGGGGGCUGCUCCUAGUACGAGAGGACCGGAGUGGACGCAUCACUGGUGUUCGGGUUGUCAUGCCAAUGGCACUGCCCGGUAGCUAAAUGCGGAAGAGAUAAGUGCUGAAAGCAUCUAAGCACGAAACUUGCCCCGAGAUGAGUUCUCCCUGAGACUUAGAGUCUCCUGAAGGAACGUUGAAGACGACGACGUUGAUAGGCCGGGUGUGUAAGCGCAGCGAUGCGUUGAGCUAACCGGUACUAAUGAACCGUGAGGCUUAACCUUACAACGCCGAAG
rnacentral:rRNA from 1 species